rnacentral:rRNA from 1 species
CAGUAGCCGCGGUAACACGAAGGGGGCUAGCGUUGUUCGGAUUUACUGGGCGUAAAGCGCACGUAGGCGGAUCGAUCAGUCAGGGGUGAAAUCCCAGAGCUCAACUCUGGAACUGCCUUUGAUACUGUCGAUCUGGAGUAUGGAAGAGGUGAGUGGAAUUCCGAGUGUAGAGGUGAAAUUCGUAGAUAUCCGGAGGAACACCAGUGGCGAAGGCGGCUCACUGGUCCAUUACUGACGCUGAGGUGCGAAAGCGUGGGGAGCAAACAGGAUUAGAUACCCCGGUAGUCCCUGUCUCUUAUAC